AGUGUGGUGGCCGAGCGGUUAAGGCGUUGGACUUAAGUUCCAAUGGACAUUAGUCCUCGUGGGUUCAAAUCCCACCCGCACUA
rnacentral:tRNA from 1 species